rnacentral:SRP_RNA from 1 species
GCCAGGUGUGGUGGUGCACACCUGUAGUCCCAGCUACUCGGGAGGCUGAGGCAGAAGGAUUGCUUGAACCCAGGAGCCAGAGGUUGCAGUGAGCCGAGAUUGUGCCACUGCACUCCAGCCUGGGUGACAGAGUGAGACUCUGUCUCAA